GGGGUUGUGGCUCAGCGGUAGAGCACUUGCCUCGCAUGCGGGAGGCCCUGGGUUCAGUCCUCAGCACCA
rnacentral:tRNA from 1 species